rnacentral:rRNA from 1 species
CGCGUAGGCGGUCUCUUAAGUCAGGUGUGAAAGCCCGGGGCUCAACCCCGGAAGUGCACUUGAAACUAAGAGACUUGAGUAUGGGAGAGGGAAGUAGAAUUCCUGGUGUAGCGGUGAAAUGCGUAGAUAUCAGGAGGAACAUCAGUGGCGAAGGCGACUUCCUGGACCAAUACUGACGCUGAGGCGCGAAGGCGUGGGGAGCAAACA